UCAGACUUGUGCUCUCCCUGGCUGCCCCAUCUCAUUUAAUCACCAUGGCAGUCCUGGCAGCUCUCUGAGGUCACAAUCUCCCUUUUCUGGAUAAGCA